rnacentral:lncRNA from 1 species
AAGAGCGGGACGGUUGGGCAGAGACUCCUCCUUGGUGUUCCAUGAGAAAGUACGGUGUGAAAGAGAGAGGGUGUCACAGUGAAGGUGAGGCGGGCUUAUUUUCAUUAGCCCAGCAGUGUUUUCGUUGUACAUGUAAGUAUAACCAAUUAGUAGAGAGAAUUUGUUGCUGCAUUCCCUGAAAAAGAAAAUUGUCGCUGCAUUCGAAGAAUGCACAUAAACAUAAACAUGGUGUAUUUCUUACAAAGAUUACAUAGGUGGUGUAGACAAACAUCAUUUUAAGGUGUGAACAUUUGUUUUCCUUUCAAAACAUGAACAUCAAUUCAAGAUACAUUAGCAUUUCUCUUCAUCUACAAGAAUUUUUAAAAUAUUUCUGAAAAAUACACGAACAUUUGUUUUUCCAUAUGUGUGAACAUUUUUUCUUGCAACAUGUAAACAUUUGUUUGGCAAGCAAAACAUUUGUGAAAAAAAUAGAGGAAUUUUUUUAAAAUACG